GCGGGAAUAGCUCAAUUGGCUAGAGCAUUAGCCUUCCAAGCUAAGGGUUGCGGGUUCGAGUCCCGUUUCCCGCUCCA
rnacentral:tRNA from 1 species